GAUGAUAAGAAGGAGAGUUUGGGGAGUAAUUCAUUAACCUAUCCUCAGUAUCCAGUCAGAAUUUCCACAUGGUUGGAGGUGAUAUUUGAAUUUCAUGGAAUUCUUAACUGCUUUAGUGAACUGUUGAUUUUGUCACAUAUAUGAGAUCCCAUAUCUGACAAUGAGCAGAACAAUGCACUCCAGAGGUUAACGUGGAUCAAGAACUGUCUUUCAUGUAAAAGAAUUUAUUCCUUCCCCUGGAGAUGUGACAUGAAGGAAAUUGUUGUGUAUAAUUCUGUGUCCCAUUCUCAGUGGCCAGAGGGAACUCUUAUACAAACUCCCUUAAUUUCCUCUGUGCUUUGCAAAAUGGAAAUGAAUUUGGAAUUUCAUGGGAUUCUCACCAUCAUCACAAAGAAGUGCUGAUUUUGUCA